rnacentral:lncRNA from 1 species
AGAGGCACAUUCAUCCAGAACACCCUCUUCGUCUACUGCCAAAUCAUCACAUGAUCUGUGGUUUUUGCAAAGAAACUUGCUAUGAGAGUUUUGUUUACUGCUGUUUUGUGUGCGAAUUCAACCUCCAUAUCAAAUGUGCUUUUCCACCAUGCGUUUAUGCAGCUGAUCAGGAUCAGGGGCAUCAAUUUAGAAGCCUGCUGAAUCCACUUUCAUUAAAAUCAAUCUCCUUCACUUGCAAUGCAUGUGGCACUGAGAGAGAUGACUCCCCUUUCAUGUGCACCACGUGCCAACUCUUGGUCCACGAAGAAUGCAUUUCAUUGCCACGCACCCUUAAAACGGCACUGCACCAUCAUCCCCGAAUCAUCCACACGUAUCAACAUCAACAAUGCAUCGAAUCGAUAAACAAGUACUGUGGAAUUUGCCGUCUGGAAGUUGACUCAAAAUACGGAGUUUACUAUUGCCCAGACUGUGACUUCGUUGCACACGUGAAUUGUAGUGUAGAAUAUGGCGAUUUUGAAACAGAGAUUGUAGAAGAAAACGAAGAAGAGCAAAGUGUGACGGUUGAUGAUCAAUUCAUGGAACCUAGCUUUCGCGUUGUCCGUGAGAUCAAGCAUGGAGAGGAGAGAAUAAUUGAAGAGAUCGAGCAUUUCAGUCAUCAACAUAACCUAAUCCUUAUUGACAAGGUUGAUGAUGAUCUAAAGUGUGAGGGGUGCAUGCUACCAAUCUCAACUCCAUUUUAUAGGUGUGCCAGGUGUAAUUUCUUUCUUGACAAAACCUGCAUAGAAUUACCCAGGAAAAAAAAGUGGCAAUAUCACGAAAACCAACUGAUUCUUUCAUGGAACCGAGGGUCACAUGAUCUGUACUACUGUCAUGUGUGUAAUCAAGUUUCUCGUGGGCUCAGCUACUUUUGUGAUAUAUGUAGACUCUCCAUUGAUGUCCGAUGCUUCAAAUCAUUGAAAGAUUCUUUUAAACAUGGAGGUCAUGAGCAUCCCCUUUAUCUUCCAGCGGACAGAAAGAAUAUUCUCCGUUGCAGUAAUAUUGGAGGUAGCUGGCCUCCCCCUUUGCUUGCAGCGGACGGAGAGAAUAUUCCCCAUUGCAGUGGCUGUUGUGUCAGUGAAGAAUCGAAGGUGUUUUUUAAAUGUGUGGUUUGCGAUUUCAAGCUGGGUAUGAAAUGUGCUACACUGCCAUACAAAGCAAGACACGAGUAUGAUGACCAUCCUCUCUUCCUCACCUAUAUCAAUGCAAAUGACUACCAACCUUCCUGUAUAAUUUGUGAAAAAGAUAGAGACCCAAAGCUCUGGUUCUACCGUUGUGAGGAAUGCGACUUCGAUGCUCAUCCAGAAUGUGCUCUCGGGAAAUACCCAUACGUCAAGCCAGGGGGGGUUCACACGUAUCCUAAACACCCUCACCCUAUUGCUUUGGUCGACAAGACAGAGGAUUAUCGUCCACAGGCAUGCGAUACUUGUGGUGAGCCUUGCGACGACUUGGCCCUUGAAUGUACUGAUCCUAACUGCAGUUUUAUCGUCCACAGGAAAAGAUGGCAAUGCUUUCAGUCAUUACUAUAUUAAUGCAAAUGACUACCAACCUUCCUGCAUAAUUUGUGAAAAAGAUAGAGACCCGAAGCUCUGGUUCUACCGUUGUGACUCAUCCAGAAUGUGCUCUCGGGAAAUACCCAUAUGAGAUCACUUGUGGCUAAACACCCUCACCCUCUUGCUUUGGUCGACAAGACAGAGGAUUAUGCAGCAUGCGAUACUUGUGGUGAGCCUUGCGAUGACUUGGCCCUUGAAUGUACUGAUCCUAACUGCAAUUUUAUCGUCCACUAUAAAAGAUGGGAAUGCUUUGAGUCGUUAUGGUAGUUGGAUCGCAGUUGUUGGCUUUUUUCUUAUUUUUGGGUUAUGAUUGUUGGCAGUUGCAAGACAGAGGAUUAUUAUCUCUGUUUCUAUUUUCGCAUAUGAGAUCACUUUUUUUCUCUCUGUUUUUUUUAUUUUCUGAACAAUAAAAGAUGCAAUUUCAUUAAGACUGUCCUUGAAGGUAGUUUGUUGUUUCUGUUUGCCUUCGUAGUGACAGAGAUGUCUGACCUUCCACCAUUUUUCUUAGCUCAGCAGGAAGCUCUUGAUCCUCUCCAUAAAUUAUUCUACUUAUUGUUUCGAUUCCCUCUUUACAUUUUUGUUAUAGAUUUUAUUGUAAAUGCAUAAAAAUAUUGUCAUAUAAAAUAACACUUACCUGAUUUUUCUUAGAUAAUUACUAUGUGUAUAUCUGCGACGUGUAUAUGUUGUCAUAUAAUAAAAUAUUGUCAUAUAAUAAUUCUCUAAUUAAAAUAUAAUAUUAUAGUGUUUAUAUAUUAAAAAAAAUAUGAAAUAAAAAUAAAAUUUAAACUAAAUAGGAAAAAAAAUUCUAAAUCAACUAAUAAAAUAUUACAAGUUGAUAGUUUUUGUGGUUUUAUUUGAAAGUCUUACUGAUUUUAAAAGGCUAUAAAAUUCUAAUUUUAUAGAAAAUAAAGCUUUUAAAAUCUUCUAAUAAAAUUUGAGUUGGAUAAAGUAAAAAAUAAAAAUAAAACUAUACCCUUCACAAGACUACUUAUUUAAGAAAAAAAAAAUCAUAUAUCAAUCUUGUCUCCAAUUCAAAUUGUUGUUGCUUCAAUUUUGUAGGUAUCCAAUUAAAAAUCUCGAACCUUUGCAUGCUGCUAGCAACAUUCCUAGCUUUUUUAUUAUUAAAAAUCUGUUUAUUUUUGUGUUUUAAAAAUAUUUUUUUAAUAAAAAAUUUACUUUAAAUUAAUUUUUUAUGAUAAAGUUAAAAAGAAUUUUUUAAAAAAAUUUAUUUUAAUAUUUUUCUAAAUAAAAAAAUAUUUUAAAAAUCAAUGGAAUAGUUAACGUGGAUUGCGAUUUCAACCCUUGUAAUAAAUGGGCUACUCUGCCAUGUAAAGCUAGACACAUGUACGAUGACCAUCCUCUCUUUCUCACCUCUAAUGAUCCAAAUGACUACCAAUUUGUCUGUCAAAUUUGUGAAAAUCAUAAAGCUCUGUUUCUCCCGUUGUGAGAAAUGCAACUUUGAUACUCAGCCAGGAUGUGCUCUUAGAAAAUACCGAUAUAUCAAGGUAAUGGGCGUUUACACAUGACUUUCAGACUCCCCGAUGCACGAAUCCAUGAAUUCUUCUUCUUCUUCUUCUUCUAUUACUGUGUUGUGUGUCUAGGUUUUUGAAAGAAGAAGAAGAAGAAGAAGAAUUUUAUUUCUUAUUCAUUCAAUAGAUAUGGUUACAAGAUAAAAUAGUAGAGGAUAUCACCAAAUUAGAAAGGCCACAAAUUAGGAAAUCAAAAUAAAGAUCGGAGCAAUCUCUAUUCCAAGAAAAUCCUUAAUCUCUGUUUCACUUGCAAUGCAUGUGGCACUGAUUUGUUGAAGAUUAUUAUACCAUCAGACGUCACAUCUGUUGCAUUUCUUCGUUCAGCUAACCCACUCUCAGACAAUUUUCCCUGUGUAUAGAAAGUUUCACCAAAUUAGGAAAUCAAAAUAAAGAUCGGAUCUCUAGGCUAGAAAAACAAGAAACGGGAGCUUGGUUAAUGUUGACAUAUUCACAGGCAUUCACAGUUUCUUCAAGGAUUCUCUUUAGCCAUAACAUUUCACAAACUUCAUUGCCAUAACCCUAUAUUCUACCUCAGCACUGCUUCUUGCAACCACAUUUUGUUUUUUACUUUGCCAUGUUACUAUAUUUUCUCAAACUUAAGUACAAUAUUUUAAUCUGUAUCCUCUAUCAAUGACUGAACUUGCCCAAUCUGCAUCAUGUAUAUGAUUCUUUUGUCUCCGCUUGUCUGGUGUACAAUAUUCUACCUCACCCUCUUGCUUUGGUCGACAAGACAGAGGAUUAUCCAGCAUGCGAUGCUGGUGUACUAUAUUAUUGGUAUGAUCCAUUCGAUAGCUUUGUCCUUUAAGAUAUAUCGUGAAAAGGGAAGUUAAUUCCUGUUUUUAGUAUUUUUCUUCUUAAGAAGAAUAAGAAUAAGCCUCCAUCUUCUUUAUCUAAUUUCAAAACCACGAAGGGAUUGAAUUAGAGGCCCAAAUCUCAUUUCAAUUAUUUGGUUAGAUAAUAUAAAUCAGCGGCGAAGCAAUCUAGAACCUGAUUGAUUUUUAAUUUAGACAAAAAUCCCUCUCGAGUUCAAACCCAAUUUAAUUAUUUUUAAUCGGGUACUUCAAAAAAAUAAUUAAUGCUUUUGAAACUUCUACUGCAAGCGGAAAAAACAAGUAAUACGAGUAGAAUCACUAUAUUAAAAUUCUCUAAUUAAUAUAUAAUAUUAUAGUUUUUAUUUAUUAAAAAAUCCUAAACAAAAUUAAAAUAAUAAUAAUAAUAGAAUUUUAAACUAAAUAGGAAAUAAUUCUAAAUCCACUAAUAUAAAAUAUACAGUGUGAUAGAUUUUUUGUGUUUUUAUUUGAAAGUCUUACUGGUUUUAAAUGACUANNNNNNNNNNNNNNNNNNNNNNNNNNNNNNNNNNNNNNNNNNNNNNNNNNNNNNNNNNNNNNNNNNNNNNNNNNNNNNNNNNNNNNNNNNNNNNNNNNNNNNNNNNNNNNNNNNNNNNNNNNNNNNNNNNNNNNNNNNNNNNNNNNNNNNNNNNNNNNNNNNNNNNNNNNNNNNNNNNNNNNNNNNNNNNNNNNNNNNNNNNNNNNNNNNNNNNNNNNNNNNNNNNNNNNNNNNNNNNNNNNNNNNNNNNNNNNNNNNNNNNNNNNNNNNNNNNNNNNNNNNNNNNNNNNNNNNNNNNNNNNNNNNNNNNNNNNNNNNNNNNNNNNNNNNNNNNNNNNNNNNNNNNNNNNNNNNCAUGAGACCGGGGAUAAUCCUAUAAACAAAAAAAAAAAAACAAAUUAUAAAGUUCAUUCUCAACCGACAUAAUGUUGAAUGAUUAAUUUUGAAAAAAAAAGUCAAUAAAAAAGGAUACAAAAAACAACCCGAGUUAACUUCGGUUAACCCGUUUAGCACUAUUCUCAAGUCAUGAGAGCAAGAAAACUUAGUGAAAAAUAAGCCGAAACAAAUCAUAAAGCCUAAUUCCCAAUCAACCAAAUAUUAAAAGAUAAAAUUAAAAAAUAAGACAAUUAAAAAAUAAAAAUAAAAACCGAGUUAACCAGGCUAAGUUGUCAAUCCCACGAUCUAGAUCAUGAGAUUAGAACAACCCAAUAAAAAAAUCAAUGUUGAAAGACUCAUGACCUGGGUAAUGAGACCGAGAUAACCUUAUAGAAAAAAAAUAAAAAUAAUAACUUUAUUUUAAACUUGGUUGACCUGCUAGACCCGCAACCUUGAUCACAAGAUAAGAACAACCUCAUAAAAAAAAUUAAAAAAAAAAUAUAAAGCUCAUUUUCCAACUCGUCUAAUAUUGAAUAAGAAAAUUAAAAAAUAUAUUUUAAAAAAGGCAUAAAAAAUCACCUGAGUUAACUCAGGUUAAUCUGUUAAGUUAUUUAUAAGUCAUGAGUCGUGAUAACCUAAUAGAAAGCAAACUGAAAAAAUCAUAAUGUUCAACUCAAUAUUAAAAAAUCAAAUUGGAGGAAAAUCAAUCAAGAAAAUAAAAAACCUUGAGUCAAUUGAAUUCACCAGUCAAAUUCAUGAUUCAAAUUAUGAGACUGAAACAACCCAAUAAAAAAUAAAUUCAAUGUUAAAAAUGAAAUUGCAAGAAAAAAAAAAGCAUUUAUUAAAAAAAAAUCAAAUGAAAAAAAGAAAGAAAAAAAAAAGGCACUAUAGUGCUUGGUUUAGAGGCCCCUUCGAAAGAAUAUUGGUGAGGUUAUCAUAAAUAUAAUACCUUGCCACAGGUACUUUGCCUUGAUUUUUUCGGAGUUGAUCAAUGGAUUAACCAAGAAAUAGAUUUUACCUCUGAAGAAAAUCUUUGUUUCACUUUCUUAAUACAUUUUACUUUAAGAAACAAGGAGAAAGGAAAAAUAAAAAGGACAAACGAGAAAUUACUUGGUAGAGAUAACCAAGAAAUAGGUUUAUCAAACGAAUGACCUAAUUUUUGUUCUAGAUAACUUCUUGAAGCCGCUGUUUUGAAUUUCAAAUUAUUAAAACUAGAAUUUUUAAACCUGACUUUAUUAUAAUUCAAGUCAUAAGUUUUGUUCAAUUUUAUUUUAACCCUGAUCAACAUGAUAUACUAAACCAAAUUUUAAAACUAUGAUCGAAACACAUCCAAACCACCAUGUGUAUUAUAAUAGUGAUAAUUUUUUAAAAUGUUUUUUAUUUAAAAAUAUGUUAAAAUAUUAUUUUUUUAUUUUUAAAAUUUUAUCUUUAACAUUACUAUAUCAAAUCAAUUUAAAAAUAUAAAAUAAAAUAAAAAUUUAAAAACACACAAGAAAAAUCAAUUCUAAGGUUGAAAUAAAAAUACAUCUAUUUGAUAUGUCAUCUCACCUUAUUUAUUGAACAGUGGUCAUUUCAAUCACAAGUUUGGCCUACUCCACAAGCACAAAACCUACAAGAGGCUCUAUAUUAUAUUUCAAUUGGUUUGUUCAUCGAAGAAGUUAUAUAUAAUGUGGGAUUCAUAAACAAAGAAAAAUAAAUUAAAUACAUUAUUAUGUAAUACUAUUUAACUUGCUUGAUUUACUGCUGCAAAGAUAUUAACUUAUCAGUAACCCUUCUUUUUGGUUAUAAAUAACUACAAAAUUAUAAUUAUAUAUCUAAGAAAUUUUAUAAAUAACUACAAAAUUAUACAAAAAAACUAAAUUCAUUCGUGAAUCACUAUGGCUUGUGAGAGGAUUUGUUGUGAAAAAAAUAUUAAAAUAAAUAUUUUUAUUUUUUAAAUAUUAUUUUUAAUAUCAACAUAUUUAAAAAUACAAAAAACUUAAUUUUAAAUAUUUUUUUAUUAAAAAAACCGUUUAGAAAGCAAUUUUAAACCGCUACCCAUGGGCAAAUGAGUAAUAUAAGAAGUUGAGGAGACGCAACUCAAGUCAACGAGUCUUCUUCUCCAACCAGAAAAGACAUGGGAAAGUGUCUUCUUAUUCACAUUCUUGAAAAUAAUCUCAUCCGCACAAAUAGAGGAGCCUGUAGCUUUCCUCACGAUCUUCUUCCCACCUAUUCCUUACAGAUAACACCCUUCCUUCCUUUUUGGGCUUCUUUGAAUAUCGGGUCCUUUUAAUUAUUUUUCGUUUGGGCUUUCUGUCCCAUAAUCUUUGAUAAAUGGGAAGAAGGAAGAAAAAUGCUUCCCCAGCAAUUGAUUGGUAUCCGAUCUUGAUUGGAAAUCACUGUGUUCUGGAUCUCGUUGGUUGAUCUGUAAUGUAGCAGUAAGCAGCUGUGAUUAUUUAAUUAGCCGUCGGUGAAGAGGUCAAGUUUCAGUUCAGAAGAUGAGGUAUUGAAUACUUGUAGCACUCAACUUUUAUUUGCCUUUCCAUUUCGAUAACAUAUAUAUUCGGCAGCUUCAAUAUGGCCUCCCUAUGUCUUGCCUUGGGUCAACACCCCUUAUUUCCUGCUCUGCCUUCUGAGAGAGCCAGAGACAUGGAGGUCGAACAUUUUAGCCACCCAGAUCAUCCAUUGAUCCUCAUUAAUCAAGUUCUCGAGUAUACUUGUGAAUUAGUUAUUUGCUCUGGAUGCGAGGGACAAAUAUGGGGUCCUUGCUACAGUUGCACCUCUUGCUACUUCUUUCUUCAUAAGAAAUGCGCCGAGCUGCCCCGUGAGAUCAAGCGGCGCAUUCAUCGUAGACACCCUCUCCAUCUACUGGCAAAGUCACCAUAUAAAGGAAAAUACAGUUGUGAUCGGUGCUACAAAACUUUCAACAGUUUUGUUUACCAUUGUUCUUUCUGUAAGUUUGAUCUAGAUAUCAAAUGUGCUUUUCAACCGGGUUUUUUUGAGGUUGAUAGUCAAUUUGCCCAUAAGGAUCAUCCAUUGAUUUUGAAUGAAGAACAAGAAUAUCAUGGUGCAGGAGUUGUGUGCUCUUUGUGCAAGGAACCAAUGUCUGGUCCUAGCUAUAGUUGCACUUCUUGCAACUUCUUUCUUCACAAGAAGUGUGCUGAGCUACCCCCAGAGAUCAAGAGGCACAUUCAUCCAGAACACCCUCUUCGUCUACUGCCAAAUCAUCACAUGAUCUGUGGUUUUUGCAACGAAACUUGCUAUGAGAGUUUUGUUUACUGCUGUUUUGUGUGCGAAUUCAACCUCCAUAUCAAAUGUGCUUUUCCACCGUGCGUUUAUGCAGCUGAUCAGGAUCAAAGGCAUCGAUUUAGACGCCUCCUGAAUCCACUUUCAUUCAAAUCAAUCUCCUUCACCUGCAAUG